rnacentral:pre_miRNA from 2 species
AGAGUGCUUUUGAGCCAAGGAUGACUUGCCGGCGUAUGUUUGAUCUCUUCUAGGACUGUUGCCGGCGAGACAUCUUGGCUCAUUGGUGCUCUCU